CAUUCACGGAGAGUUUGAUCCUGGCUCAGGACGAACGCUGGCGGCGUGCUUAACACAUGCAAGUCGAACGAUGAAGCCCUUCGGGGUGGAUUAGUGGCGAACGGGUGAGUAACACGUGGGCAAUCUGCCCUUCACUCUGGGACAAGCCCUGGAAACGGGGUCUAAUACCGGAUAACACUCCCGCACUCCUGUGCGGGGGUUAAAAGCUCCGGCGGUGAAGGAUGAGCCCGCGGCCUAUCAGCUUGUUGGUGAGGUAAUGGCUCACCAAGGCGACGACGGGUAGCCGGCCUGAGAGGGCGACCGGCCACACUGGGACUGAGACACGGCCCAGAC
rnacentral:rRNA from 1 species